GAUGAACGCUGGCGGCGUGCCUAAUACAUGCAAGUCGAGCGAACGGACGAGAAGCUUGCUUCUCUGAUGUUAGCGGCGGACGGGUGAGUAACACGUGGAUAACCUACCUAUAAGACUGGGAUAACUUCGGGAAACCGGAGCUAAUACCGGAUGAUAUUUUGAACCGCAUAGUUCAAAAGUGAAAGACGGUCUUGCUGUCACUUAUAGAUGGAUCCGCGCUGCAUUAGCUAGUUGGUAAGGUAACGGCUUACCAAGGCAACGAUGCAUAGCCGACCUGAGAGGGUGAUCGGCCACACUGGAACUGAGACACGGUCCAGACUCCUACGGGAGGCAGCAGUAGGGAAUCUUCCGCAAUGGGCGAAAGCCUGACGGAGCAACGCCGCGUGAGUGAUGAAGGUCUUCGGAUCGUAAAACUCUGUUAUUAGGGAAGAACAUAUGUGUAAGUAACUGUGCACAUCUUGACGGUACCUAAUCAGAAAGCCACGGCUAACUACGUG
rnacentral:rRNA from 1 species